rnacentral:rRNA from 1 species
CAAUAGCGUAUAUUAAAGUUGUUGCAGUUAAAAAGCUCGUAGUUGGAUUUGUGGCUGUCACGGGCGGCCUAUCACUUAGUGUUAGUGCUUGCCUGUGUCGCCAUCCUUGGGUGGAGCCCGUGUGGCAUUAGGUUGUCGUGCGGGGGAUGCCCAUCGUUUACUGUGAGAAAAUUAGAGUGUUCAAGGCAGGCUUAUGCCAUUGAAUAUGUUAGCAUGGAAUAAUAAGAUAGGACCUCGGUACUAUUUUGUUGGUUUGCGCACCGAGGUAAUGAUUAAUAGGGACAGUUGGGGGUAUUCGUAUUUCAUUGUCAGAGGUGAAAUUCUUGGAUUUCUGAAAGACGAACUACUGCGAAAGCAUUUACCAAGGAUGUUUUCAUUAA